CAGUUAUCGUUUAUUUGAUAGUACCUANANUACAUGGNAUAACCGUGGUAAUUCUAGAGCUAAUACAUGCUAAAAANCCCCAACUUCNNGGAAGGGGUGUAUUUAUUAGAUUAAAAACCAAUGCCCUUCGGGGCUCCUNUGGUGAUUCAUAAUAACUUAACGAAUCGCAUGGCCUUGCGCCGGCGAUGGUUCAUUCAAAUUUCUGCCCUAUCAACUUUCGAUGGUAGGAUAGUGGCCUACCAUGGUCUCAACGGGUAACGGGGAAUUAGGGUUCUAUUCCGGAGAGGGAGCCUGAGAAACGGCUACCACAUCCAAGGAAGGCAGCAGGCGCGCAAAUUACCCAAUCCCAACACNGGGGAGGUAGUGACAAUAAAUACUGAUACAGGGCNUCUUUUGGGUCUUGUAAUUGGAAUGAGUACAAUUUAAAUCCCUUAACGAGGAACAAUUGGAGGGCAAGUCUGGUGCCAGCAGCCGCGGUAAUUCCAGCUCCAAUAGCGUAUAUUAAAGUUGUUGCAGUUAAAAAGCUCGUAGUUGAACCUUGGGNCUGGCUGGUCGGUCCGCCUCACCGCGNGUACUGGUCCGGCNCGGNUCNUUUCCUUCUGGGGAGCCNUCAUGCCCUUUACUGGGUGUAUUGGGGAACCAGGACUUUUACUUUGAAAAAAUUAGAGUGUUCAAAGCAGGCCUUUGCUCGAAUACAUUAGCAUGGAAUAAUAGAAUAGGACAUNNCGGUUCUAUUUUGUUGGUUUCUAGGACCGCUGUAAUGAUUAAUAGGGAUAGUCGGGGGCAUCAGUAUUCAAUUGUCNAGAGGUGAAAUUCUUGGAUUUAUUGAAGACUAACUACUGCGAAAGCAUUCGCCAAGGAUGUUUUCAUUAAUCAGUGAACGAAAGUUAGGGGAUCGAAGACGAUCAGAUACCGUCGUAGUCUUAACCAUAAACUAUGCCGACUAGGGAUCGGACGGUGUUUUAUUUAUNGACCCGUUCGGCACCUUACGAGAAAUCAAAGUGUUUGGGUUCU
rnacentral:rRNA from 1 species